rnacentral:rRNA from 1 species
CAGUUGGUUAGAGCGCACCGUGAUAAGGGUGAGGUCACUAGUUCAAAUCUAGUAUAGCCCAUAAAUUUGGGGAUAUAGCUCAGUUGGUAGAGCACUGCUCUUGCACAGCAGAAGUCAGCGGUUCAAAUCCGCUUAUCUCCACCAAAUUUUUAUUUUAUUUACAUACAAUAAAAAAUGGUCAAAUGCUUAAAGGCGUAAAAUGAAUACCUAGGCAUCUAGAGUCGAAGAAGGGCGUGAAACCAACGAUAAGCUUCGAGGAACUGGAAAAAAGUAAUGAUCCGAAGAUUCCCGAAUAGGGCAACCUUUUAAACUUUUUAUUUAAUUCAUAGAAUAAAAAAGAGAUAACCUAGUGAACUGAAACAUCUUAUUAACUAGAGGAAAAGAAAGCAAUCGCGAUUUCCCAAGUAGUGGCGAACGAACAGGAAAAAGCCUAAACUGAUAAUAUUAAUUAUCAGGGUUGAAGGGAUACAUCAAAAAAUAUAUAGAAAAAUCAAACGUAAUCUUAAUAAAUUAAGUAAAUGAAACAGAUUGAAUACUGUACCAUAGAUGGUGAAAGUCCUGUAAUUGCUUUUAAUUUUGAUAAUAAAAUAUCCCCAAGUAAUACGGGACACGUGAAAUUCCGUAUGAAUUAGCGAGGACCACCUCGUAAGGCUAAAUACUCCUAGAUGACCGAUAGUGAACUAGUACCCGUG